rnacentral:rRNA from 1 species
UGGGGAAUCUUCCGCAAUGGACGAAAGUCUGACGGAGCAACGCCGCGUGAGUGAUGACGGCCUUCGGGUUGUAAAGCUCUGUUAAUCGGGACGAAUGGUUCCUGUGCGAAUAGUGCAAGGAUUUGACGGUACCGGAAUAGAAAGCCACGGCUAACUACGUGCCAGCAGCCGCGGUAAUACGUAGGUGGCAAGCGUUGUCCGGAAUUAUUGGGCGUAAAGCGCGCGCAGGCGGAUUGGUCAGUCUGUCUUAAAAGUUCGGGGCUUAACCCCGUGAUGGGAUGGAAACUGCCAAUCUAGAGUAUCGGAGAGGAAAGUGGAAUUCCUAGUGUAGCGGUGAAAUGCGUAGAUAUUAGGAAGAACACCAGUGGCGAAGGCGACUUUCUGGACGAAAACUGACGCUGAGGCGCGAAAGCCAGGGGAGCGAACGGG